GAUGAACGCUGGCGGCGUGCCUAAUACAUGCCAGUCGAGCGAACAGACGAGGAGCUUGCUCCUCUGACGUUAGCGGCGGACGGGUGAGUAACACGUGGAUAACCUACCUAUAAGACUGGGAUAACUUCGGGAAACCGGAGCUAAUACCGGAUAAUAUAUUGAACCGCAUGGUUCAAUAGUGAAAGACGGUUUUGCUGUCACUUAUAGAUGGAUCCGCGCCGCAUUAGCUAGUUGGUAAGGUAACGGCUUACCAAGGCAACGAUGCGUAGCCGACCUGAGAGGGUGAUCGGCCACACUGGAACUGAGACACGGUCCAGACUCCUACGGGAGGCAGCAGUAGGGAAUCUUCCGCAAUGGGCGAAAGCUUGACGGAGCAACACCGCGUGAGUGAUGAAGGUCUUCGGAUCGUAAAACUCUGUUAUUAGGGAAGAAUAAAUGUGUAAGUAACUAUGCACGUCUUGACGGUACCUAAUCAGAAAGCCACGGCUAACUACGUG
rnacentral:rRNA from 1 species